rnacentral:rRNA from 1 species
CCUACGGGUGGCAGCAGUGAGGAAUAUUGGUCAAUGGCCGGAAGGCUGAACCAGCCAAGCCGCGUGAAGGACGAAGGUGCCAAGCAUUGUAAACUUCUUUUGUCAAGGGACAAAAUCAGGCUCGAGAGCCUGACCGAGGGUACUUGAAGAAAAAGCAUCGGCUAACUCCGUGCCAGCAGCCGCGGUAAUACGGAGGAUGCGAGCGUUAUCCGGAUUUAUUGGGUUUAAAGGGAGCGUAGACGGCAAGGCAAGCCAGAAGUGAAAGGGCAGGGCUCAACCCUGUACAUGCUUUUGGAACUGUGGUGCUAGAGUGCAGGAGAGGUAAGUGGAAUUCCUAGUGUAGCGGUGAAAUGCGUAGAUAUUAGGAGGAACACCAGUGGCGAAGGCGGCUUACUGGACUGUAACUGACGUUGAGGCUCGAAAGCGUGGGGAGCAAACAGGAUUAGAUACCCGGGUAGUC